CGCAGAGUGACCGACCUUCGGGUCGGGUAAUGCGGACGGUCAGACGGUCACAAUCCCAA
rnacentral:ribozyme from 1 species